AUUAUACCGUGAAACUGCGAAUGGCUCAUUAAAUCAGUUAUCGUUUAUUUGAUAAUACCUUACUACUUGGAUAACCGUGGUAAUUCUAGAGCUAAUACAUGCUGAAAAUCCCGACUUCGGAAGGGAUGUGUUUAUUAGAUAAAAAACCAAUGCCCUUCGGGGCUCUUUGGUGAUUCAUGAUAACUUUACGGAUCGCAUAGCCUUGCGCUGGCGACGGUUCAUUCAAAUUUCUGCCCUAUCAACUUUCGAUGGUAAGGUAUUGGCUUACCAUGGUUUCAACGGGUAACGGGGAAUUAGGGUUCGAUUCCGGAGAGGGAGCCUGAGAAACGGCUACCACAUCCAAGGAAGGCAGCAGGCGCGCAAAUUACCCAAUCCCGACACGGGGAGGUAGUGACAAUAAAUACUGAUACAGGGCUCUUUUGGGUCUUGUAAUUGGAAUGAGUACAAUUUAAACCUCUUAACGAGGAACAAUUGGAGGGCAAGUCUGGUGCCAGCAGCCGCGGUAAUUCCAGCUCCAAUAGCGUAUAUUAAAGUUGUUGCAGUUAAAAAGCUCGUAGUUGAAACUUGGGCCUGGCUGGCGGGUCCGCCUCACCGCGUGCACUCGUCCGGCCGGGCCUUCCUUCUGAAGAACCUCAUGCCCUUCACUGGGCGUGCUGGGGAAUCAGGACUUUUACUUUGAAAAAAUUAGAGUGUUCAAAGCAGGCCUUUGCUCGAAUACGUUAGCAUGGAAUAAUAAAAUAGGGCGUGCGUUUCUAUUUUGUUGGUUUCUAGAGACGCCGCAAUGAUUAACAGGAACAGUCGGGGGCAUCAGUAUUCAGUUGUCAGAGGUGAAAUUCUUGGAUUUACUGAAGACUAACUACUGCGAAAGCAUUUGCCAAGGAUGUUUUCAUUAAUCAGUGAACGAAAGUUAGGGGAUCGAAGACGAUCAGAUACCGUCGUAGUCUUAACCGUAAACUAUGCCGACUAGGGAUCGGGCGAUGUUCUUUUUCUGACUCGCUCGGCACCUUACGAGAAAUCAAAGUUUUUGGGU
rnacentral:rRNA from 2 species